rnacentral:rRNA from 1 species
UACAGAGGUGCCAAGCGUUGUUCGGAUUUAUUGGGCGUAAAGGGUGCGUAGGCGGUUGUGUAAGUCGGGUGUGAAAUUUCGGAGCCUAACUCCGAAACUGCAUUCGAAACUGCACAGCUCGAGGUCUGGAGAGGUGAUUGGAAUUCUAGGUGUAGCAGUGAAAUGCGUAGAUAUCUAGAGGAACGCCAGAGGCGAAAGCGAAUCACUGGACAGAACCUGACGCUGAGGCACGAAAGCUAGGGGAGCAAACGGG